GUGCAGUGCAGUGCAGUGCAGUGCAGUGCACUGCACUGCACUGCACUGCACUGCACUGCACUGCAC